GGGGGGCGGAGAGGAGGUUCACGGGUGGAGAAAAAAGACUGAGAGAAGAAAAAAGAUGUCGUUCUGUUUCAGGAAAAUAAAUCGCUCUUCUUUUGUUGUCAAGUUCCUUUGAUAAAUGGUUGUGCUGUAGAGCUGAGAGAGAAGAGGGAAGAAGGUCGGUGGAGAAAAGCCGAGGAAAAUAACAUACAAAAAGAGAAGAAUGGGGUGCGCUGAUUCACACAUUCAUUUGGAAGGAAUUCGGAAGAGGGUCCUCAAGUCUAGGACACCUAGCAAAAAAGGCCGAAGUGGGUUCCAGCACUUCCUUCAAGCACCGGCACAAACCCGACCUGCUCGUUUGUCAACUUUCUCAGCCCCUAAUCCAAACAUGCUUGAAAGCCCCUGGCCCCAAGACUUGGUACUCGUUCACUCUUCUUUCUCUCCAGACCCGGGUAGAGAGAGACCUAUUCCCAGCCGGCAGUCGAGCUCAGGACGCGGGGCUCGGAAUUUCUCAGUCGACAGAGCAGAGCAGAGGAAAGCUGAGCAGAGCGCACCCACUCAGCCUUAG
rnacentral:lncRNA from 1 species